GGGAGCCACAGCAUCCGGGAGCCGUGGUGUCUGUGCGUGCGUGGAGCCUGUGCUCAUGACAUAGGAAGCCGAACAGAAGGAGCGUCCUCAAAUCCUUUCCUACAGUCACCAAACCCACGCUCUGUUAAAAUGACAUUUCGUGGCUCCUACUUUGUUUCCCCGGAGAGCAAUGAGUUUUCUAUCAGGCCUGAUUUAGUUUGACAAAAGUCAAAAAGAAAAACUGGAUUUGUCCCUCUGCAAGUUCAGUCAGAUCGCUGGGAAAACAGAAAUGACAAAACAAUAAUAACAGAAAUAGAACCAGGCAUUUGAUACAUAAUUACCAUCACCACGGCUUUCAAGCUUUCUGGAAUUACGUUCCUCCAGUAACUGUUGAUGAUGCUUGCAGGAGGCAAAAUGCAAUGCAGUUUUUCUCUUCCGCAGCUAUAUUAGGGCUUUGUUGCUGACAACAGUGAAAACUUGUUUGUGUCAGGAAGUGAGGAAACUGUGUGGAUUGGCGGAAUCAAGAAA
rnacentral:lncRNA from 1 species